AGGAACUGGAGAGAUGGCUCAGGGGUUAA
rnacentral:piRNA from 1 species